rnacentral:tRNA from 1 species
UCCCUGCUGGCUGAGAGGGUAAAGAGUCUGCCUGCAAUGCAGGAGACCAGGGUUGAUCCCCAGGUUGGGAG